GGAUCUCUUAAAGCCGUUCUCAGUUCGGGCUGUAGGCUGCAACUCGCCUACACGAAGCUGGAAUCGCUAGUAAUCGCGGAUCAGCACGCCGCGGUGAAUACGUUCCCGGGCCUUGUACACACCGCCCGUCACACCAUGAGAGUCUGUAACACCCAAAGCCGGUGGGAUAACCUUUAUAGGAGUCAGCCGUCUAAGGUAGGACAGAUGAUUAGGGUGAAGUCGUAACAAGGUACC
rnacentral:rRNA from 1 species